CCUGUAUUGUAGGCUAACAUUUGAGCCACUGCCUAUGAUUGUGAUGUAACAGGCCAAGAGAAGAAGCAGUGCUAUGGCUGAAGGGCAGUUGCAACAGGAAGUCUGACCCUUUCACCUGCCAGUUCAAGAGGAAAGACUAUAACCUGAAUGGAAUAAUAUUUAUAGAUGCUUCCUCUCAUGCGUUUCAAAAUGCUGUUAUGGGGGAUUUCUUUCCUUCUGUCUCCUGUGUUCUACUCCACUGUGCGACAUCCCUGCCUGAUAUGGCUCAAACCAGAGCAUGUAGGAAAAGGAGUAUUUACAGGAGGAGUCAGCUGUGCAGAGUGCUGAUUGGCUCUGCCUUGCGGGACUCAUGAAGGCUCUUUUAUUCAUUCUCCCCACUGGACUAUACAGAGGUGUUGAUUGGCUGGCCCUUGUAGGAAUCAUGAAGCCACUCUCCCCCAACCAUGAGCAACGCUUCAAGUGUGUUUAUUGGCUUGGGCGGCGGGUUGAGGGGGGAGGGCAGGGAGGCAAUUAAUAAACAUUUAAAUGGAUAAACAUACCAGGCAUUUGGGGGAAAGAUUUAACAAACCCAACAACUAAUAGUCUGCUUAAAGCAUGAGGGAGAGGUAAAAAUCCAGGCUGGCUUUGGAGCCAGGUGCUUGCCUCAGCAGACGAAUAAGGGCAAAAAGAAUAAGAGCUCAGCUCCAUAUCUGACAGAAAACAGAUCAACACUUGGUCCUUGAGGGAGAUAUAUCUAUCUCAACCCUAAAUCCCAUUGAAGUCUAUUGAAUUAUAGAUUUAAAUGACUAUUAAAUCAAUUUGUGAGAGUGGAUCCAUUCUCCAUUUCCACAUCUGUCCUACCUAUCUUUUGAUAUUUACAAAAUCUUUAAAUAAAAGCUGUUGUCAAUUUGCUAAUGUGCUCUUCAAUGGUUCAAAAACUACCCUUUAAAACUAGAGCUAAAAUGUAGUGCUCAAAAGAUUUUAUCCCUCAAAAAAAUUAAAAUGCUCAUUGUAAAAUUAUUAUUACGCAGUCUGAGAUUUGUUCAUAUGAUAUUGCCCAGAGAAAAACCUAACAAGGUUCCCCACUUCCAUUAUUUUGAACUUUGUACAAUGUUGUUGGAAAUCCCAACAUGCAUAUGCUUAAAAAUAUAAAAGAUAAUAGUGUUCUUUCCCUUUUAUUUCUUAGACUGUUUUUGUUUCUUUCCCUUUUAUUUCUUA